rnacentral:rRNA from 1 species
AUGGAUGUGGACAAGGACAUGGAGAAGCUAGCUAUCAGCAAGGAGAAGGAUAGUGCUGACUUUGGCAAGAUGAAGCAGAUGGAGAAGCUGGCUCAGGAGCUGAAGGAGAUGAAGUGCAUUCUUAGGUCUCAGGGGGAGAUCAUUAGGAACACAAGGAAGGAGAGGGAUGAGAUGAAGAAAGAGAGGGACUGGCUGAUAGAGGAGAAGAAGAAGCUGGAGUUUCUGGUGGGUGAUCUUAUGAAAGCUGGUCAUGGCAACAAGGACAAGCUUGCCAAGAUCAAGUCAAUCCUUGAUGAGUGA